CCUACGGGAGGCAGCAGUGGGGAAUAUUGGGCAAUGGGCGCAAGCCUGACCCAGCAACGCCGCGUGAAGGAAGAAGGCUUUCGGGUUGUAAACUUCUUUUGUCCGGGAAGAGUAUAAGACGGUACCUGACGAAUAAGCCACGGCUAACUACGUGCCAGCAGCCGCGGUAAUACGUAGGUGGCAAGCGUUGUCCGGAUUUACUGGGUGUAAAGGGCGUGUAGCCGGGUUGACAAGUCCGAUGUGAAAUCCUGCGGCUUAACCGCAGAACUGCAUUUGAAACUGUGGAUCUUGAGUACUGGAGAGCCAGACGGAAUUCCUAGUGUAGCGGUGAAAUGCGUAGAUAUUAGGAGGAACACCAGUGGCGAAGGCGGUCUGCUGGACAGCAACUGACGGUGAGGCGCGAAAGCGUGGGGAGCAAACAGGAUUAGAUACCCGGGUAGUC
rnacentral:rRNA from 1 species